GGGGACGACAGGCAUCGAUCUGGUCGAUCCGUGCGAACGGUUGCAGGUCGAGGUUCCCGGAGGCCUCGUUAAACACCGGGACCAACCAAUACGUGCGGACCACGAGUUCGCCCUCGCCGCUUAGCUCAAACUAAGCAGGUGAGAGUCGGCCCUCCCUCGGCCCGUGGAGAGGGGUUCCGGCUUCAGAAACGGGCUCGCCCGAAGCGGCUCGUCCUCGCCGCCAGGGGACUUCUCAGGGGACUGGCCUUCCGGACUCACCCGCCGGCGCGGACCCGGAAGGCGAGACCAAAGCGCCGGCUAUGCCUGUAGAAGCCUUCGCAUUGCGACCGGACACCCGGGUUCGAAUCCCGGCGUCUCCAUCG
rnacentral:tmRNA from 1 species